rnacentral:rRNA from 1 species
UACGUAGGGUGCAAGCGUUAAUCGGAAUUACUGGGCGUAAAGCGUGCGCAGGCGGUUAUAUAAGACAGAUGUGAAAUCCCCGGGCUCAACCUGGGAACUGCAUUUGUGACUGUAUAGCUAGAGUACGGUAGGGGGGGAUGGAAUUCCGCGUGUAGCAGUGAAAUGCGUAGAUAUGCGGAGGAACACCGAUGGCGAAGGCAAUCCCCUGGACCUGUACUGACGCUCAUGCACGAAAGCGUGGGGAGCAAACAGG